rnacentral:rRNA from 1 species
GACGAACGCUGGCGGCGUGCUUAACAUAUGCAAGUCGAACGAUGAAGCCGGAGCUUGCUCUGGUGAAUUAGUGGCGAACGGGUGAGUAACACGUGAGUAACCUGCCCUUGACUCUGGGAUAACUGCUAGAAAUGGUAGCUAAUACCGGAUACGACCCUCGGAGGCAUCUCCAGGGGGUUGAAAGAAUUUCGGUCAAGGAUGGACUCGCGGCCUAUCAGCUAGUUGGGGAGGUAACGGCUCACCAAGGCGACGACGGGUAGCCGGCCUGGGAGGGUGACUGGCCACACAGGGACUGAGACACGGCCCAGACUCCUACGGGAGGCAGCAGUGGAGAAUAUUGCACAAUGGGCGCAAGCCUGAUGCAGCAACGCCGCGUGAGGGAUGACGGCCUUCGGGUUGUAAACCUCUUUUAGUAGGGAAGAAGCGAAAGUGACGGUACCUGCAGAAAAAGCACCGGCUAACUACGUGCCAGCCGCCGCCGUAA